CGACUCUCGGAAACGGAUAUUUCCGCUCUCGCAUCCCAUUGAAAGAACUCCAGCAAAAAUGCGGAUUCUUGGUGGUGAAUUGAACAAUCCCCGAGAACCAUUGAGUUUUUGAACGCAAGUUGCGCCCGAAGCCAUUAUGCCGAGGGCACGUCUGCCUGGGCGUCACG
rnacentral:rRNA from 1 species